rnacentral:rRNA from 1 species
UCCUGGCUCAGAUUGAACGCUGGCGGCAUGCUUUACACAUGCAAGUCGAACGGCAGCGCGGGGCAACCUGGCGGCGAGUGGCGAACGGGUGAGUAAUAUAUCGGAACGUACCCAAGAGUGGGGGAUAACGUAGCGAAAGUUACGCUAAUACCGCAUACGAUCUACGGAUGAAAGCAGGGGAUCUUCGGACCUUGUGCUCCUGGAGCGGCCGAUAUCUGAUUAGCUAGUUGGUGAGGUAAAGGCUCACCAAGGCGACGAUCAGUAGCUGGUCUGAGAGGACGACCAGCCACACUGGAACUGAGACACGGUCCAGACUCCUACGGGAGGCAGCAGUGGGGAAUUUUGGACAAUGGGCGCAAGCCUGAUCCAGCAAUGCCGCGUGAGUGAAGAAGGCCUUCGGGUUGUAAAGCUCUUUUGUCAGGGAAGAAACGGCUGUGGCUAAUAUCCACGGCUAAUGACGGUACCUGAAGAAUAAGCACCGGCUAACUACGUG